AAUAUCCUAGAAUCUAGAUCUAGAAAAUGUUAGAUCUAGGGUUAGGGUUAGGAUCUAUCUAGAUCCUAGAUAAAUAUAUAUUCCACACCCUCGUCUAACGUUCAGGCUAUUUAUUACUCAUAUGCUACUAGAUUAGAUCUAGAUAUCUAGAUCUGGUAAUCUAUCGUUUUGGACUAGAGUAAUAGUAGUAGUAGAGAGUCUAGACGCCUAACCCUAAUUUCUAACUAUAAAAUGAGUAAAGAUUACUAGAUCUAGAUCUAUACUAUAUACUAAUAACUUAACUUACAACCUAACACACCAAUUUCAUUGGUAGCUAAAAUCAUCAGGAAAAGAAUUUUUUUUUUUAUCUAGCCUAUUGUUUCCAAAACACUAUUUGCUAAAUCUAGGACCAAGGAUAAAUAAGUUUAGGCUACUCAACAACAGCAGACCUAAAUUAUGUGAGAUGGCACUCCCAGUUUUUCACACAGCCUUUACUGAUGCAACAGCUGAUUGGACUGGCUACGGCACUAGACGCGGCCCUUGUAAUAUAUAUUAUGAGGAUUUCAAGAAAUGUAUCAGUGUUGUCCCCUACCCUAAAGCGUCCUUUGUUUGUGACAAAUUUCGAGCUGAUUUUGCAGAAUGUGCUAUCAGAGACAAGCAGAUGGCACGUGUGAAAGCAAUGACAGAUGAAAGGAAACGCCAGGGCAGACAGCCAUUACCUCCAACACCCCUAUACUGUCUUGAUAAAAAACAUUAAUCUUGUGGCGGAUAAAAAUAGAUUUCAAAGUAGUUUGAUUUGUACAUGUUGAAUUUUUGAAGCUCUUGUGGCACUAUGUCUACUGGGGCUGUAUUACAAAUAAAAGUAAACAUUACUUGUU